rfam:Ailuropoda melanoleuca scaffold5560_5, whole genome shotgun sequence.
GCCUGGGUGGCACAGUGGUUAAGCGUCUGCCUUCGGCUCAGGGCAUGAUCCUGGCAUUGUGGGUUCGAGCCCCACAUCAGGCU